rnacentral:rRNA from 1 species
UAGGGAAUCUUCCGCAAUGGGCGAAAGCUUGACGGAGCAACGCCGCGUGAGUGAUGAAGGUCUUCGGAUCGUAAAACUCUGUUAUUAGGGAAGAACAAAUGUGUAAGUAACUAUGCACGUCUUGACGGUACCUAAUCAGAAAGCCACGGCUAACUACGUGCCAGCAGCCGCGGUAAUACGUAGGUGGCAAGCGUUAUCCGGAAUUAUUGGGCGUAAAGCGCGCGUAGGCGGUUUUUUAAGUCUGAUGUGAAAGCCCACGGCUCAACCGUGGAGGGUCAUUGGAAACUGGAAAACUUGAGUGCAGAAGAGGAAAGUGGAAUUCCAUGUGUAGCGGUGAAAUGCGCAGAGAUAUGGAGGAACACCGGUAGCGAAAGCGGCUCUCUGGUCUGUAACUGACGCUGAGGCUCGAAAGCGUGGGGAGCGAACAGG